UGGGUAGUCCGUACGAGCGCACCCUAUCCUUAGUUGCCAGCGAGUAUGUCGGGAACUCUAGGGAGACUGCCGGUGACAAACCGGAGGAAGGUGGGGACGACGUCAAGUCAUCAUGGCCCUUAUGGGCAGGGCUACACACGUGCUACAAUGGCCGGCACAGAGAGCUGCGAAGUCGCAAGGCGGAGCGAAUCUCAGAAAACCGGUCGUAGUCCGGAUUGCAGUCUGCAACUCGACUGCAUGAAGUUGGAAUCGCUAGUAAUCGCGGAUCAGAAUGCCGCGGUGAAUACGUUCCCGGGCCUUGUACACACCGCCCGUCACACCAUGGGAGUGGGCUGUACCAGAAGUAGGUAGUCUAACCUUCGGGGGGACGCUUACCACGGUGUGGUUCAUGACUGGGGUGAAGUCGUAACAAGGUAGCCCUAGGGGAACCUGGGGCUGGAUCACCUCCUU
rnacentral:rRNA from 1 species